UUGACAGCUCUGAAGGUCCUCUCUCCACAGAGCAGGUACAGAGUACUAAUACUGCAAGUUCUCCCACAAUACCGUGCCAAUGUGCCUCAACCCGGAGCUAGAAGGACAACCUUGAAGGGUAAGAGGAUAUUUCAGUUUCCAUACCAUUCAAACCUCAACUUCU
ensembl:misc_RNA